rnacentral:ncRNA from 1 species
GUAAGAGCAUAGGGAAACCUGUGCUUAGAAGAUGCGCAAAAACUCCUGCAUCUCAACAAAGAAACUGAAUUGCUGGAAAACCCUAAAGCGAAUUCAACGACAACAUCAUCUUGAAAGACAGAUCAGUGUGAACGUGGCGAAAGCAGAAAAAAUGAAUUCGAUGGCAUAUGGUUAAAUCCUAAGUGUUGAGAAAUGGGCAAUCAGCAGCCAAGCUCCGAACAGGAGAAGGUUCAACGACUAUCCCUCGUGAGGGGAGUAGGAUCAAGCGGUCCGAAGUGGUUUCGCCGUACUGGAUUAAGCCAACGGAGAAGAUAUAGUCUGUGCUUGCAUGAAAGUGCAAG